ACUCCGGUUGAUCCUGCCGGACCCGACUGCUAUCGGAUUGAGAUUUAGCCAUGCGAGUCGAACGCCUUCCUGUUGCGGGAGGCGUGGCGUACGGCUCAGUAACACGUAGUCAACCUGCCCUGGAGACAUGAAUAACCCCGGGAAACUGGGAUUAAUCCAUGAUAGGUCAUCUCAUCUGGAAGGAGAGAUGGCUUAAAGGGGUGCGAGAGCUUCUUUCUUGCAUUCGCUCCAGGAUGGGACUGCGGCCGAUCAGGCUGUUGGUGGGGUAAUGGCCCACCAAACCUGUAACCGGUACGGGCCUUGAGAGAGGGGGCCCGGAGAUGGACACUGAGAGAAGGGUCCAGGUCCUACGGGGCGCAGCAGGCGCGAAACCUUCGCAAUGCGCGAAAGCGUGACGAGGUUAAUCCGAGUGGUCCCCGCUGAGGGGAUCUUUUGUCGGCUGUAAAAAGGCCGGUGAAUAAGGGGAGGGCAAGUCUGGUGUCAGCCGCCGCGGUAAUACCAGCUCCUCGAGUGGUCGGGGCGAUUAUUGGGCCUAAAGCAUCCGUAGCCGGUUCUGUAGGUCCUCUGUCAAAUCCAACGGCUUAACCGUUGGCCCGCAGAGGAUACCGUAGGACUAGGAGGCGGGAGAGGUGGACGGUACUCCACGUGUAGGGGUAAAAUCCUUUGAUCCGUGGAAGACCACCAGUGGCGAAGGCGGUCCGCCAGAACGCGCUCGACGGUGAGGGAUGAAAGCUGGGGGAGCGAACCGGAUUAGAUACCCGGGUAGUCCCAGCCGUAAACGAUGCAAGCUAGAUGAUCCGGUCGCAAAUCGCGAUCGGAGUGUCGCAGGGAAGCCGUUAAGCUUGCCGCCUGGGGAGUACGGUCGCAAGACUGAAACUUAAAGGAAUUGGCGGGGGAGCACCACAAGGGGUGAAGCCUGCGGUUCAAUUGGAGUCAACGCCAGGAAACUUACCAGGAGAGACAGCAGGUUGAGGGUCAAGCUGAAGACUUUACCUGACGAGCUGAGAGGAGGUGCAUGGCCGUCGCCAGCUCGUGCCGUGAGGCGUCCUGUUAAGUCAGGCAACGAGCGAGACCCCUGUUGGUAAUUGCUAACAGUCCAGAGAUGGAUUGAGGCUAGUUACCAAGACUGCCGCUGCUAAAGCGGAGGAAGGAGGGGGCCACGGCAGGUCAGUAUACGGAAUGCUAGGCGAGCACUUCUGUCUUCUGUGGACGGGCGUUAAAUAACUCCAAGAACAACUUUCACCGUGGAACACUUCGAGUCGAGUGACAGGCAUGAGGCUCGGGAAGAUUUCGACCAGCUAGAGCUGGAAAGAUUUCGGCUUGAGCAACAUGGGUUCACGGAUCAAUCCUAUGAACCCUAUUUCGCCGGCCUCGUCGCGUCAGACGGGCACGUCGAAGGCGGGUCGAACAGGACUGUCGUCGCGAGUUCCAAUCCGGAAUUCGUGACGGGAAUCAUAGGACCCGUGGCGGAACAACAACGACUCGGAUAUUCCGUGUUCUGGGACUCAGAAGCCAGUGUCUACAAACUCAACAUCAACGAUUACGAACUCUACGGAACACUCACUACAAAAUACAACAUUCCACCCGGCAAAAAGGCUGCAAUCAUUGAACCUCCUGACAACUUGAAUCGCGAUGAGGAAUUGUGGUUCAUCAGGGGUUGGUUCGAUGGCGACGGCUGGGUCGAGGAGAUGACAAAACACAUGGACGACAAAGACUACACCUACCCUAGAGUGGGUCUGAAAUCGAUGAGUGAGGAUGCGAGAAACUGGAUUGCUGAGCGUCUCAGCGACGCAAAUAUUCGCGUAUCGAAAUACGACCGCGAAGACGAGAGUCAUGGCUUGUGGAUAAACGGUUACGCUGAGUGUGAGAAGUUCGACACUCUGGUCGGUUUCCGUCAUCCAGAACAACACAGAAAGUUGCAGGAGCUGUUAACGCGUCACAGGAGUUCAGACCUCGCAAGAGGUUCCGGCUGAGGCCCCGAAACUCCUGGGCCACACGCGGGCUGCAAUGGUAAGGACAAUCGGUCCCAACCUCGAAAGAGGGAGGCAAUCCACAAACCUUACCCCAGUUGUGAUUGAGGGUUGAAACCCGCCCUCAUGAAUAUGGAAUCCCUAGUAACCGCGUGUCAUCACCGCGCGGUGAAUACGUCCCUGCUCCUUGCACACACCGCCCGUCGCUUCACCCGAGUUUGGCUUUGACGAGGUCUUCUCUUGUUGGGGAGAUCGAAUCUAAGUUAGGCAAGGGGGGAGAAGUCGUAACAAGGUGGCUGUAGGGGAACCUGCAGCCGGAUCACCUCCU
rnacentral:rRNA from 1 species